rnacentral:lncRNA from 1 species
GUGGGGAAGAGUUUCAUUAAUGUAGGAAUAAGGUGGUGUUCCUCAUGGUGGGUUUACAGUGCAACAAAUGGAAGUGUUGGGGUCAAAGCCAUGGCGUGCAGCAUGAGUUUUUCCAUGUCCGAAGACUCAAAGAUUCUCAUUAGUCAUCCAUUUUUUCCCUCCGUUCUGCUGAAUAUCAACCUGAACUUUUUUUUGCAUCACUG